UGGCUUAGUUGGUUAAAGCGCCGGUCUAGCGAAUACGGAGUCGUGGGUUCGAAUCCCAC
rnacentral:tRNA from 1 species